AUUACAUUAUAUUAAAUACAGGUAAAAUUCUCAGGCGAUCUUAUUUAUAAUUUUAAAUCUAAAAUUUUGCACAGGCAAAACCGCGUGCAAUAGUAGUGACAUUAACGUAAUGUGAUGAAACUUACUUUUUACCUUAGACCCAACAGGGUAUUGAGCUGGCAACGUCCCAUAGGUUCACUUCACGACCUUGACGACGGUCAAUAGGAAGAGCGGCAACGUCGGUUGUAAUAUGUCAAAUCAUAAAUAAGGCUUCUAUCAAAUACUCAUAACAAUGGAGGUACACGAGUGUACUUUGUUUACCGUUGUUUACUUUUCUUGACGUAAGUGAAGACGCUAUUUCAAGAAAUUUGAAGUGCUAAUUCAUUAAAAUAUGUACGCUUUCAUGACUGUGCCUCAACUUAAAGUUGAGGUUCGUAAAAUGCGUCAAUUGCCGGAAAAAAGGCUAAUUUGAUAGAAAGAUUGCAAUCUAAUGACCGGAAUAAAAAUUUUGGUGUUGACUGCGAGAUCCAAGAGGAGAUCGCAUAUCUGAGUCCAGCCACUGAUACUUUCAGAGACAUAAUUGCGGACACUUCUUUACCAAUGAUUACGAGACAAGCAAUACAGGAAUAUUUUGAAAGUUAUGUACCCAUAUGUAAUGAUUAUAAUCUUAGGCAGUUGUUUACAAAGAUGACAGUGUAAAUUUUAUGUAUUUAAAUUGAUAUAAUACUCAGCAUAAAGGACAACUCCUGUACGAAUUUCGACAUCUUGUGACUGCCCGCUAUUCCACAGAUGGCAUUUAUACCCACUUGCGAGGACAAUGUAAAGCCAGUAUGAAAAAAAUGGUAUACUUUGUGGAUAUAAAAUUAAGUAAAGAUGGAGUAAUUGAAGAAUGCCAUUGCGAUUGUGCUGCAGGCAGUGGUACUCAAGCAUGUUGCAAACAUGUCUCUGUAUUGUUGGAUGGUACACAAAAAAAAUAUUAAAUUGCAUCUGUCAAGUACUCAAAAAUUAAUGACAUUCAAUAGACCCAAGAAAGUAUUUUAUAAUUCACCCAUUGCAGCUCAAAAUUUACCCAACAAGAGAUUGAAAUCUUGUACUUAUAACACACUAAAAGAUACUUACUGAUAUUAUGGACAGUUAUGCUGAUUAUGUGAAAAUUUUAGUAAUGGGAUAUGAUGAAAGCUCAAUACCUUUAUUACAGACAUGUGAACCCGCAAAUCCACAUGGCAUUGAAUGGGAUCGUUACACCUAUGUAGAUAGGACUCCAAUAGAUAUUUUACUAGAGAAGCUAUUAUUAAAAAUAUUAUAUCUGAACAAAUUCAGGAAGUGAGAAGAAUACAAGAGCCCAAAGUGAUUCCUCUGAGUGGCAUGAAAGAUCAUGCAGGAUUACUGCCAGUAUGUUUCAUUUAGUGUGCCACAGUAAAGCAUAUAAGUACCAAAAAUAUAUGUAAUCGAUAUGAUUUUGGCCCCAAAGCUGUGCAGACUAUGUUAGUUGUGCAUAGUAAAAUCCAAGAAACUAUUUCCAUUGCCAAAUAUGAUAGAGAUUAUGGACUAAAAAUAAAAAA
rnacentral:lncRNA from 1 species